rnacentral:lncRNA from 13 species
GUACCCUCUAACCUGACACAAGAGCCAUGCUCUACCAACUGAGCCAUACUGUUAAUGACAUCAUCACUACUGUUAAUGACAUCAUCACUACUGUUAAUGACAUCAUCACUACUGUUAAUGACAUCAUCACUACUGUUAAUGACAUCAUCACUACUGUUAAUGACACCAUCACUACUGUUAGAGGGAACUGGUCCAGUCAGGGGAAACAGGUCCAGUCAGAGGAAACAGGUCAGAUGAAACAAGUCCAGUCAGAGGGAACAGGUCCAGUCAGAGGGAACAGGUCCAGUCAGAGGAAACAGGACCAGUCAGAGGGAACAGGUCCAGUCAGAGGAAACAGGUAAGAUGAAACAGGUCCAGUCAGAGGAAACAGGACCAGUCAGAGGGAACAGGUCCAGUCAGAGGGAACAGGACCAGUCAGAGGAAACAGGUAAGAUGAAACAGGUCCAGUCAGAGGAAACAGGACCAGUCAGAGGGAACAGGUCCAGUCAGAGGGGACAGGUCCAGUCAGAGGAAACAGGACCAGUCAGAGGAAACAGGACCAGUCAGAGGGAACAGGACCAGUCAGAGGGAACAGGUCCAGUCAGAGGAAACAGGACCAGUCAGAGGGAACAGGUCCAGUCAGAGGAAACAGGUCAGAUGAAACAGGUACAAUCAUCCACAAAACGAAGUAAGAAAAAAAAAACUUUUCUAGUUUCUAUGACUUUAUUGACUAGAAAAUUACCAUUUGGUGAUGCGUGGGUUGUACAGCAUAUAGCUUACAUCACCAAGGUACCAUACAUGCCCUUAGGUAACCCAGUGGCCUCCACUAUCUACCGUACUGUAUGUUUGGGUAGAAUAUUUCUGCUGCGCUCCUAUACCGCAUAUUAGGGGGCAGCCGGUGAGAAAAACAAAACGGGAGCAGAGUCCUAGCUCGCAACAGUGACGUCAGCGGCGAGGCCAGUCCAACCCGCCCCGCGCAGGGCCCGGUCAUUGGUGGAGCGCAGGACAGCGAGCGGCGCGGUGGAUAGACUGCCGCUACGCUAUUGGGGGAGGGAAGACAAACUGGAUCCGAACAACAAAAAAGACCAGAUAACAACAAUAUCAAGUUGGAAAUAGAAAGCGCGAUACGCGGCUGCUCGAACAUAUUUACCCGUUAAAAACACUUUGGGUAAGAAAAUGUGUUUUAUAUUCUGUUUGUUUUUUUACGUUAUCAAACCGAGUCGACUGCACGGUUGGUGGUGUUGCUAAGUUUUCCAUUGUCUCCAGGAUCGAAGAGCACCGAAACAAUUGUAGCAUUUGAGCUAAUUUGGGUGUGCUUGAAUGUAACUACUUGUUAAUUUUUAUGAUAUCACAUUAUACCCCGCUUUUCUCCAAGGCAAACAUAACUUUGUCGUGCCGGUGUAUGAUAGUGUUGAUACCUUUGGACCAAGGAGCGGAGAAAGUUGUGUUUGUGUGCGUGCACUUAAAAGCGAAUAAAUAUUGUUGCAACAUCGUGAAAGAGUAUUCAAACGAGACUAAGGUUGUGUGUCAGUUUUAAUCACAAUAAGGGUUUAAACAUGAAUUAUAUGUUUGGUUACAUCAUUUGUUAUUACUAUGUUAUUAUAUAAUUAGGCCUAGAUACUACCAAUAUAGUAUUUCUUGUAAGUCUAUUCCUGUGUGUGUGAUGGUGAAUUCAAGGUUAGUUGUUUGUCUUUCAUUCAUUCCAAUGUGUGAUUAGCCUGGUUCCUCUCUAGGUUCCUGCCUUUCUAGGGAGUUUUUCCUAGCCACUGUGCUUCUACACCUGCAUUGCUUGCUGUUUGGGGUUUUAGGCUGGGUUUCUGUACAGCACUUUGAGAUAUCAGCUGAUGUACAAAGGGCUAUAUAAAUAAAUUUGAUUUGAUUGACUGGGAUUUGAACUCAGGGCACCAGGAUGCCAAGACUGAGUUGGCCUCCUGAGCUAAAGCUUGGUACAAAGAUUCAGGGUCAAGCACAUUUGUGUAAUAAUGUUGUCUUCCUCUCCUCUCUGCCUCUUUUCUUUCUCCCCUCUCUCUCUCUCCAUCCCUCUUCCCCCCUCUCUCUCCAUCUCUCGCUUCCCCUCUCUCAUCUCACUGCUUUCUCGUUUCCCCUCCUCACUCGCUCUUCCUCCAUAGAUGUCAGCAUGGCUCAGAUGUUUACUAUAUCAGACAGCGAGUCAGAGCCCUCAGAGGAGAUAGGAGAAACCAAAAAGGACCAAUCGUCUGCCGGAAAGGGGAUAACUGGCGGUCCAAUAGGCCACGCCCUCACUGUGCCUGAGAUGAGACUGGCAGGUAGGACACCCCAGAGGACUCUGGGAAAUAACCACUAUUGGUCUUACCAGGGUCGUAUUCAUUAGGCCCCAAGCGGAAGAAAACGCACUGAAACAAGGAUGGACUAGCUGGACUUUUUCAAUAAGGAACGUUCCUUUUCGGUCGCAAAAAUGUUUUCCACUGCGUGCCCUAAUGAAUAUCACCCUGAUAGUUAGCCACUCAUAAUGAACCCCAAUAACAUCUACUAUCUUGUUGCUAUGGCUGUCAUAAUGAACCCCAGUAACAUCUACUAUGUUGUUGCUAUGGUUGUCAUAAUGAACCCCAGUAACAUCUACUGUCUUGUUGCUAUGGCUGUCCUCUGUUUGGCACUGGCAAUAAGGAGAUGGAUU